GUAGGUGGCAAGCGUUGUCCGGAAUUAUUGGGCGUAAAGCGCGCGCAGGCGGUUCUUUAAGUCUGAUGUGAAAGCCCACGGCUCAACCGUGGAGGGUCAUUGGAAACUGGAGAACUUGAGUACAAAAGAGGAAAGCGGAAUUCCACGUGUAGCGGUGAAAUGCGUAGAGAUGUGGAGGAACACCAGUGGCGAAGGCGGCUUUCUGGUCUGUAACUGACGCUGAGGCGCGAAAGCGUGGGGAGCAAACAGGGAUUAGAUACCCUGGUAGUCCACGCCGUAAACGAUGAGUGCUAAGUGUUAGGGGGUUUCCGCCCCCUUAGUGCUGCAGCUAACGCAUUAAGCACUCCGCCCUGGGGAGUACGGCCGCAAGGCUG
rnacentral:rRNA from 1 species